AAAAAAAAGAGGUCGAUCCUCCGGCUCUAUAUCCUUUAAAAAGUGGAUUUGCAUAUUGGUACCGUUGCUUCAUAGAAAGAGCAUUUUGCUUUGGCGGAUGUCGUUGUGUGGUGUCGCGUUUGCUAACGUUCGUUCCCAGCGGUCCCGUAAACAUUUAUUUUAAAACUUAAAUUCGUCCUCCCCUGCACCCGAAAGUAGUCGGCUGACUAGUCGUCGUUCCGUGGGUGUCCACAUUGGGGACGCCAUGUCCACAUUGGGGAUGCGUGGUCGUGUAUCUCAUGCCACUACCAAUCGUUGCCUACCUGGGUGCCGGCGGGAUGCCCACGCAGUUCGUCUACAUCUUCCGCCGCUUGGCAAGUGCAUGUCUUGCGGACUGGGUACGUGUGCCGUACAAGCCCACGCCUCGGCGAAGGUUUACCUGCCGCAGUGGUGCGCACACGUAUUUAACGACAGUGGCAGGCGAGUUGGCGGUGACGCUCUCCCUCCAUGCCAUGCCACCAUCGCGACGGGAUGGCUCCCUGCCCCCGCUUGGGGAACUAUCAAAGCCAUUACUAGGCUUGACCAGCGGUUGGCGAUGAUGUAAAUAACGAAGAAAACAACCGCAUUCGCCACUCGCCAUGUUGCUGACAUUUUGUGUCCGACGCACCCACAUGGAGCCAUAUGUGGAGCAGGGAUGGCCUCGGGGCGCCGACAAUACUAUUGGGCCGCGCCUGAUCAAAAAUGUCUUUGGGGCACAUGGCUGGGUGCGAUUUUCUAUUGGCGUACCCGAAAGGUCUUUCGGGGAUAGUUUGGGGGCGAGGAGGGCACGGCUGUGCACCAUUGGUAAAGCAUUUCUCCUCGCAUUAAAUGGGUGAAAUCUAUGCAAAAAAGUUUUAAUAAUUUAAAAAUACUACAGAUCAUCACUGAAAAUCGUCACAUGCAUGUCACAGACACACAAAGAACUUGAAGCAUGAACACGGCAUUUAUAAUAAACGCCCUGAGUCAACCACUAGUAGGAAAAAUGUUAUAGGAGAAGAUCGACCGGAAGCGGGCAGGAUUUUACAACUACUUUUUCGCAGCAGAGUGUUAAAGGGGCACGCGAGUAGUAUGUCCUCGCUAGUAGCGCACCAUCAACCAGUGCACACGGCAAAUACGAUGGGCUCGUCGAAACAUGGGAUCAGAAUUUAUCCGCAGUGAGCCACUUAAGGGUAUGUACAAUGAUAGGGAAGACACGUCUUCUCUUAGCAGUCCAUGUCAUCUAGAGAGGAAGAUACAUAUAAUCUGUACAAUGUAUUAUCUCUUAUUGUUAUCCCUUGUAAUAAAUGAUAAUUAAUUAUUUUUAGUAGGAAAUUAUGUGACUAAGGGAAGACAAGUCGUACAAUGGGGAAAAUAGCCUUAUCUUAUUUCAUAAGAGAUCAUCCCUUAGCUAAGAGAAGACAACCUUCUCUCUCUUUAUUCUCUCUCCUCCAACUAAGCAAAAAUCUAACGUGACAAGUGUAAGGAAAGGCUGACAAGCAUAAGGGAAGGCUGACAUCACCCUAUUGUACGUGCCCUUACAAAUGUUGACAGAUAUAAACACUUGUUUCCUUCUAGUCGAUGUAGCAUUCGAAUUUUUGUCAAAAAGGACCAUCUGCCCCACUGAAAUGCCAAAAAGGACCACCCCUGAGUGUAAAUGGCAAAAGUGCCGCGGCGGCACGCUAGCCAGGCGACACGUGGAAGGUGCCGCCGCCGGCUGCGUGUGGCGGCACGUCCGCCUGCCAUGGUCGCCGUCCGUCGGCCGUUAGCGCCCUCGAGCCUGGUGGGCCCUGCCGCCACAGGGCGCGGCGGCACGCUGGCGUGGCGCCUGCCUCCACCAGCCGUGGCGGCAAGUAGUCGGCCUGGGGGACAAAGACAGCAGGCUUGCGCCUCGUUGUGCGUGUGACUGAUUCUCACGAAUAUUUUGCUUUGACGUGUGAUGAUUCCCUAUGUUUUUUGGCUUUGGCCCGUGAAUGGAGCUGCACUAUCAGUAUGGGUGUAACUGAUUCCCAGGCAUUAGUCCUGUACAGUGUGAUUCUGAGACAUGAAGCGACGUCCGCCGCUGAUACAGGAACUACAACAUCGAAAGAGCUUCGGUCUCUGCAUGCUUUAAAGCAGUAGCUGCUCACUCAGCUUGUGUCUGUGCAUGCUAUAAAGCAGCAUCCUCUCUUCGCAGACGAGCUCACAUACCUGCAUGCUUUAAACCAGCAUCCUCUCUUCCCAGACGAGCAGCGUCUCUCGUGAGUUGACUAGAAGCAGAAGAGAACCAGCAUCCUCCAUGCAUCGAUAAAGCUGCAUGCUUGAUGGUUAAGCGCAUGCAUGCUUUUGAUUAGUACAUGAAGGUGGAUUCGAGCAGACACCCGCUCUCUUAGAAGUGCAGUGUUUCUGUAGUUGCUGAUUGGUAUUAUUAUUUGGAAUAUUUCGCGGCGUAAAUUAUUUUUGGAAGAACAUCUAUCUGCAAAUUGAGGUGAUGACGUCGCAGUAUGGCGCAGACGACCAGUAUGUACGAGCAGUAUGGCGCGUACGAGCAACAUUGCGCGUACGAGCCAACCUCCUCCGCGGAAUCCAUCAUAUGCACGCGUCGACUCAUCUCUACUUGACCGCUCACAAUCAGCUCGCAUUUCUCCACCACAUGGUGGCACACAAGAGGAUAAUAUUUUCUCUACUAAUCCGUUCGGGGAACGAUAUUCAUACACCCAAGGGGAGACUUCAAACAUCGAGAACACUACUCGCUAAUCUGUUGAACCUAACUGGUCAGAGAUGGAAGCUGGACUCGGCUACAAUAUGCCUCCUCCACAGGUUCUUUCAAUUUUAGGGCUCCUUUGAUUUAAAGGAUAGGAAAAGCAUAGGAAUAAGAAAGGUAUAGGAUUGGAAUGGCAUGUCUACUUGAAAAAUAUAGGAAGAUGAAGUUUGUUUGAUUGUAGCAAAGGAAUUUUUCCAUGAGG